rnacentral:rRNA from 1 species
GGGUUAACAGCACGUGAAAUUGUGAAAGGGAAGCACUCGUGACUAGACUUGCGCCCGGCGGAUCAUCCAGCGCUCUGCGCUGGUGCACUGCGCCGGGCUCAGGCCAGCAUCGGCUCCCCCAGGCGGAUAAAAGCUCCGGGAACGUAGCUCCUCCGGGAGUGUUAUAGCCCGCUGCAAAAUACGCCUUGGGGGGCCGAGGUUCGCGCUCCGCAAGGAUGCUGGCGUAAUGGUCACCAGUGACCCGUCUUGAAACACGGACCAAGGAGUCAAGCAUUAGGGCGAGUGUUUGGGUGUCAAACCCGCACGCGUAAUGAAAGUGAAUGCUGGUGAGAGCUUCGGCGCAUCAUCGACCGAUCCUGAUGUAUUCGGAUGGAUUUGAGUAGGAGCCUUACCGCUUGGACCCGAAAGUUGAUGAACUAUGCCUGUAUAGGGUGAAGCCAGAGGAAACUCUGGUGGAGGCUCGCAGCGGUUCUGACGUGCAAAUCGAUCGUCAAAUAUGGGCAUGGGGGCGAAAGACUAAUCGAAUCAACUAGUAGCUGGUUACCGCCGAAGUUUCCCUCAGGAUAGCAGUGUUGUUUUCAGUUUUAUGAGGUAAAGCGAAUGAUUAGGGACUCGGGGGCGCUAUUUAGCCUUCAUCCAUUCUCAAACUUUAAAUAUGUAAGAAGCCCUUGUUACUUAGCUGAACGCGGGCCUUCGAAUGUAUCAACACUAGUGGGCCAUUUUUGGUAAGCAGAACUGGCGAUGCGGGAUGAACCGAACGCGGGUUUACGGUGCCGGAGUGGACGCUCAUCAGACACCACAAAAGGCGUUAGCACAUCUAGACAGUCGGACGGUGGCCAUGGAAGUCGGAAUCCGCUAAGGACUGUGUAACAACUCACCGACCGAAUGUGCUAGCCCUGAAAAUGGAUGGCGCUCAAGCGUCCCACCUAUAACCCGCCCUCAGGGUAGAACCGAUGCCCUGAGGAGUAGGCGGCCGUGGAGGUUUGUGACGAAGCCUAGGC